rnacentral:rRNA from 1 species
AACGCUGGCGGCAGGCUUAACACAUGCAAGUCGAGCGGGCAUCCUUGUGGUGUCAGCGGCGGACGGGUGAGUAACGCGUGGGAACGUGCCCUCUGGUUCGGAACAACCCUGGGAAACUAGGGCUAAUACCGGAUACGCCCCUUUUGGGGGAAAGGCUUGCUGCCGGAGGAUCGGCCCGCGUCUGAUUAGCUAGUUGGUGGGGUAACGGCCUACCAAGGCGACGAUCAGUAGCUGGUCUGAGAGGAUGAUCAGCCACACUGGGACUGAGACACGGCCCAGACUCCUACGGGAGGCAGCAGUGGGGAAUAUUGGACAAUGGGCGCAAGCCUGAUCCAGCCAUGCCGCGUGAGUGAUGAAGGCCUUAGGGUUGUAAAGCUCUUUUAUCCGGGACGAUAAUGACGGUACCGGAGGAAUAAGCCCCGGCUAACUUCGUGCCAGCAGCCGCGGUAAUACGAAGGGGGCUAGCGUUGCUCGGAAUCACUGGGCGUAAAGGGCGCGUAGGCGGCGUUUUAAGUCGGGGGUGAAAGCCUGUGGCUCAACCACAGAAUUGCCUUCGAUACUGGGACGCUUGAGUGUGGUAGAGGUUGGUGGA